rnacentral:rRNA from 1 species
UACGAAGGGGGCUAGCGUUGUUCGGAUUUACUGGGCGUAAAGCGCAUGUAGGCGGAUCCAUAAGUCGGGCGUGAAAUCCCCAGGCUCAACCUGGGAACUGCGCUCGAAACUGUGGGUCUCGAGUGUCGGAGAGGAUGGCGGAAUUCCUGGUGUAGAGGUGAAAUUCGUAGAUAUCAGGAGGAACACCGGUGGCGAAGGCGGCCAUCUGGACGACAACUGACGCUGAGAUGCGAAAAGCGUGGGGGAGCAAACAGGGAUUAAGAA